rnacentral:rRNA from 1 species
GACAUAGGUGGCGAACGUUAUCCGGAAUUAUUGGGCGUAAAGGAUGCGUAGAUGGUGUAGUAAGUUAUCGGUGGCAAAUCGAGGCUCAACCUCGCGGAAGUCGGUAAUACUGCUAUGCUAGAGGAUAGGAGAGGUUAACGGAACUCCCUGUGGAGCGGUGAAAUGCGUAGAUAUAGGGAAGAACACCAAUCAGGCGAAGGCAGUUAACUAUUCUAUUCCUGACAUUGAGGCAUGAAAGCGUGGGGAGCAAAACGG